rnacentral:rRNA from 1 species
UACGAAGGGGGCUAGCGUUGCUCGGAAUCACUGGGCGUAAAGCGCACGUAGGCGGAUUGCUAAGUCAGGGGUGAAAUCCUGGAGCUCAACUCCAGAACUGCCUUUGAUACUGGAGAGCUUGAGUCCGGAAGAGGUGAGUGGAACUCCGAGUGUAGAGGUGAAAAUUCGUAGAUAUUCGGAAGAACACCAGUGGCGAAGGCGGCUCACUGGUCCGGUACUGACGCUGAGGUGCGAAACGU